rnacentral:rRNA from 1 species
UACGAGGGUGGCAAGCGUUAUCCGGAUUUAUUGGGCGUAAAGAGCGCGUAGGCGGUUUCACCAGUCUUAACAUAAAUCUCAUUGCCUAACAAUGAACCUUGUUAAGAUACUGUGGAACUCGUGGAUGGCAGGGGCAAGCGGAAUUCCCGGUGUAGGGGUAAAAUCCAUUGAUAUCGGGAGGAACACCAAUGGCGAAGGCAGCUUGCUAGGUCAUUUCAGACGCUAAGGCGCGAAAGCGUGGGGAGCGAAC